rnacentral:rRNA from 1 species
GUAGGUGGCAAGCGUUGUCCGGAAUUAUUGGGCGUAAAGCGCGCGCAGGCGGUUCUUUAAGUCUGAUGUGAAAGCCCACGGCUCAACCGUGGAGGGUCAUUGGAAACUGGAGAACUUGAGUACAGGAGAGGAAAGCGGAAUUCCACGUGUAGCGGUGAAAUGCGUAGAGAUGUGGAGGAACACCAGUGGCGAAGGCGGCUUUCUGGUCUGUAACUGACGCUGAGGCGCGAAAGCGUGGGGAGCAAACAGGGAUUAGAUACCCUGGUAGUCCACGCCGUAAACGAUGAGUGCUAAGUGUUAGGGGGGUUUCCGCCCCCUUAGUGCUGCAGCUAACGCAUUAAGCACUCCGCCUGGGGAUACGGCCGCAAGGCUG